GACGAACGCUGGCGGCGUGCUUAACACAUGCAAGUCGAACGGAAAGGCCCUGCUUGCAGGGUACUCGAGUGGCGAACGGGUGAGUAACACGUGGGUGAUCUGCCCUGCACUUCGGGAUAAGCCUGGGAAACUGGGUCUAAUACCGGAUAGGAGCCAUUUUUAGUGUGAUGGUUGGAAAGUUUUUUCGGUGUGGGAUGAGCUCGCGGCCUAUCAGCUUGUUGGUGGGGUAAUGGCCUACCAAGGCGGCGACGGGUAGCCGGCCUGAGAGGGUGGACGGCCACAUUGGGACUGAGGUACGGCCCAAACUCCUACGGGAGGCAGCAGUGGGGAAUGUUGCACAAUGGGCGCAAGCCUGAUGCAACGACGCCGCGUGGGGGAUGACGGCCUUCGGGUUGUAAACUCCUUUCGCUAGGGACGAAGCUGUUUGUGACGGUACCUAGAAAAGAAGCACCGGCUAACUACGUG
rnacentral:rRNA from 1 species